GAUGAACGCUGGCGGCGUGCCUAAUACAUGCAAGUCGAGCGAACGGACGAGAAGCUUGCUUCUCUGAUGUUAGCGGCGGACGGGUGAGUAACACGUGGAUAACCUACCUAUAAGACUGGGAUAACUUCGGGAAACCGUAGCUAAUACCGGAUAAUAUUUUGAACCGCAUGGUUCAAAAGUGAAAGACGGUCUUGCUGUCACUUAUAGAUGGAUACGCGCUGCAUUAGCUAGUUGGUAAGGUAACGGCUUACCAAGGCAACGAUGCAUAGCCGACCCGAGAGGGUGAUCGGCCACACUGGAACUGAGACACGGUCCAGACUCCUACGGGAGGCAGCAGUAGGGAAUCUUCCGCAAUGGGCGAAAGCCUGACGGAGCAACGCCGCGUGAGUGAUGAAGGUCUUCGGAUCGUAAAACUCUGUUAUUAGGGAAGAACAUAUGUGUAAGUAACUGUGCACAUCUUGACGGUACCUAAUCAGAAAGCCACGGCUAACUACGUG
rnacentral:rRNA from 1 species